CCUCUGAUAGAUGAGUGAUAUUUCAUUCAUAAAUAGCCUCCUACUUUGAUUUUUGACUUGCUUCUAUUUGGUGCCUAUACACAUUUUAUCGUACAUUCUUGAGUUUCAUAUCACAGAGUAUGGAAAAUGUUAAUCAGAACCAAAACAAUCUGCGCAGUUACUGAUUCAUCCAGAAGAUGAACAAAUAUUCAUUUCUUUUUCUCUUUUCUCAGCAACAUAUCCAUCAUAUCACAAAGUAUCCGAAAUGUGAAUCAGAACAAAAACAAUCACCAUGAUUACUGCUUCAUCCAAAAAGAACAAAAACAAUCACCAUGAUUACUGCUUCACCCAAAAGGUGAAAAAAUAUUCAUGUCCUUUUCUCUUUUCUCGGCAACAUAUCCAUCGUAUCACAAAGUAUGUGAAAUGUUAAUCAAAACUAAAAAAUCACCGCGGUUACUACUUGAUCCAAAAGGUGAACAAAUAUUCAUUUCUUUUUCUCUUUUCUCAGAAACAUAUCCAUCAUAUCACAAAGUAUGUAAAACGUUAAUAAGAACUAAAACAAUCACCAUGAUUACUGCUUCAUCCAGAAGGUGAACAAAUAUUCAUUUCUUUUUCUCUUUUCUCAGCAACAUAUCCAUCAUAUCACAAAGUAUCCGAAAUGUUAAUCAAAACAAAAACAAUCACCAUGAUUACUGCUUCAUCCAGAAGGUGAACAAAUAUUCAUUUCUUUUUCUCUUUUCUCAGCAACAUAUCCAUCAUAUCACAAAGUAUGUAAAACGUUAAUAAGAACUAAAACAAUCACCAUGAUUACUGCUUCAUCCAGAAGGUGAACAAAUAUUCAUUUCUUUUUCUCUUUUCUCAGCAACAUAUCCAUCAUAUCACAAAGUAUGUAAAACGUUAAUAAGAACUAAAACAAUCACCAUGAUUACUGCUUCAUCCAGAAGGUGAACAAAUAUUCAUUUCUUUUUCUCUUUUCUCAGCAACAUAUCCAUCAUAUCACAAAGUAUGUAAAACGUUAAUAAGAACUAAAACAAUCACCAUGAUUACUGCUUCAUCCAGAAGGUGAACAAAUAUUCAUUUCUUUUUCUCUUUUCUCAGCAACAUAUCCAUCAUAUCACAAAGUAUGUAAAACGUUAAUAAGAACUAAAACAAUCACCAUGAUUACUGCUUCAUCCAGAAGGUGAACAAAUAUUCAUUUCUUUUUCUCUUUUCUCAGCAACAUAUCCAUCAUAUCACAAAGUAUGUAAAACGUUAAUAAGAACUAAAACAAUCACCAUGAUUACUGCUUCAUCCAGAAGGUGAACAAAUAUUCAUUUCUUUUUCUCUUUUCUCAGCAACAUAUCCAUCAUAUCACAAAGUAUGUAAAACGUUAAUAAGAACUAAAACAAUCACCAUGAUUACUGCUUCAUCCAGAAGGUGAACAAAUAUUCAUUUCUUUUUCUCUUUUCUCAGCAACAUAUCCAUCAUAUCACAAAGUAUGUAAAACGUUAAUAAGAACUAAAACAAUCACCAUGAUUACUGCUUCAUCCAGAAGGUGAACAAAUAUUCAUUUCUUUUUCUCUUUUCUCAGCAACAUAUCCAUCAUAUCACAAAGUAUGUAAAACGUUAAUAAGAACUAAAACAAUCACCAUGAUUACUGCUUCAUCCAGAAGGUGAACAAAUAUUCAUUUCUUUUUCUCUUUUCUCAGCAACAUAUCCAUCAUAUCACAAAGUAUGUAAAACGUUAAUAAGAACUAAAACAAUCACCAUGAUUACUGCUUCAUCCAGAAGGUGAACAAAUAUUCAUUUCUUUUUCUCUUUUCUCAGCAACAUAUCCAUCAUAUCACAAAGUAUGUAAAACGUUAAUAAGAACUAAAACAAUCACCAUGAUUACUGCUUCAUCCAGAAGGUGAACAAAUAUUCAUUUCUUUUUCUCUUUUCUCAGCAACAUAUCCAUCAUAUCACAAAGUAUGUAAAACGUUAAUAAGAACUAAAACAAUCACCAUGAUUACUGCUUCAUCCAGAAGGUGAACAAAUAUUCAUUUCUUUUUCUCUUUUCUCAGCAACAUAUCCAUCAUAUCACAAAGUAUGUAAAACGUUAAUAAGAACUAAAACAAUCACCAUGAUUACUGCUUCAUCCAGAAGGUGAACAAAUAUUCAUUUCUUUUUCUCUUUUCUCAGCAACAUAUCCAUCAUAUCACAAAGUAUGUAAAACGUUAAUAAGAACUAAAACAAUCACCAUGAUUACUGCUUCAUCCAGAAGGUGAACAAAUAUUCAUUUCUUUUUCUCUUUUCUCAGCAACAUAUCCAUCAUAUCACAAAGUAUGUAAAACGUUAAUAAGAACUAAAACAAUCACCAUGAUUACUGCUUCAUCCAGAAGGUGAACAAAUAUUCAUUUCUUUUUCUCUUUUCUCAGCAACAUAUCCAUCAUAUCACAAAGUAUGUAAAACGUUAAUAAGAACUAAAACAAUCACCAUGAUUACUGCUUCAUCCAGAAGGUGAACAAAUAUUCAUUUCUUUUUCUCUUUUCUCAGCAACAUAUCCAUCAUAUCACAAAGUAUCCGAAAUGUUAAUCAAAACAAAAACAAUCACCAUGAUUACUGCUUCAUCCAAAAGGUGAAAAAAUAUUCAUGUCCUUUUCUCAUUUCUCAGCAACAUAUCCACAGUAUCACAAAGUAUGUGAAAUGUUAAGCAGAACUAAAACAAUCACCAUGAUUACUGCUUCAUCCAAAAGGUGAAAAAAUAUUCAUGUCCUUUUCUCUUUUCUCAGCAACAUAUCCACCGUAUCACAAAGUAUGUGAAAUGUUAAGCAGAACUAAAACAAUCAUCAUGAUUACUGCUUCAUCCAAAAGGUGAAAAAAUAUUCAUGUCCUUUUCUCUUUUCUCAGCAACAUAUCCACCGUAUCACAAAGUAUGUGAAAUGUUAACCAGAACUAAAACAAUCACCAUGAUUACUGCUUCAUCCAAAGGUGAAAAAAUAUUCAUGUCCUUUUCUCUUUUCUCGACAACAUAUCCACAGUAUCACAAAGUAUGUGAAAUGUUAAUCAGAAAAAAAAACAAUCACCAUGAUUACUGCUUGAUCCUAAAGGUGAACAAAUAUUCAUUUCUUUUUCUCUUUUCUCAGCAACAUAUCCAUCAUAUCACAAAGUAUGCGAAAUGUUAAUCAGAACAAAAACAAUCACCAUGAUUACUGCUUCAUCCAAAAGGUGAAAAAAUAUUCAUGUCCUUUUCUCUUUUCUCAGCAACAUAUCCAUCAUAUCACAAAGUAUGCGAAAUGUUAAUCAGAAAAAAAACAAUCACCAUGAUUACUGCUUCAUCCAAAAGGUGAAAAAAUAUUCAUGUCCUUUUCUCUUUUCUCGACAACAUAUCCACCAUAUCACAAAGCAUGUGAAAUGUUAAUCAGAACUAAAACAUCACCGCAGUUACUGCUUGAUCCAAAAGGUGAACAAAUAUUCAUGUCUUUUUCACUUUUCUCAGCAACAUAUCAACCGUAUAACAAAAUAUGUGAAAUGUUAAUCAGCACCAAAACAAUCCUCGUGGUUACUACUUGAUCCAAAAGGUGAACAAAUAUUCAUGUCUUUAUCUCUUUUCUCUGCAAUAUAUCGAUAGUAUCACAAAGUAUGUGAAAUGUUAAUCAGAACCAAAAUAACAUUCAACUUGGGUAUGAUCAAGUGCGAGUUGAUGAAGUUGGAAGUAGACCAAAGAGAUAUGAGCCACGAUAGUGGAACUAGAAAGAAUACCUGCUUUUCAAAGACAUGUGAACAAAUAUUCAGGUCCUUUUCUCUCUUCUCAACAAUAUAUCUAUUAUAUCACAAAGUAUGUGGAAUGUUUAUCAGACCGAGACAACAUUCAACUUGGGUAUGAUCAAGUGCGAGUUGAUGAAGUUGAUAGUAAACCAAAGAGAUAUGAGCCACGACAGUGGAACUAGAAAGAAUACCUCUGUUUUUGAAAGACACGUGAACAAAUAUUCAUGUACUUUUCUCUUUUCUCAACAACAAAUCUACCAUAUCACAAAGUAUGUGGAAUGUUUAUCAGACCGAGACAACAUUCAACUUGGGUAUGAUCAAGUGUGAGUUGAUGAAGUUGAUAGUAGACCAAAGAGAUAUGAGCAACGAUAGUGGAACUAGAAAGAAUACCUCUAUUUUUGAUAGACAUGUGAACAAAUAUUCAUGUCCUUUGCUUUUUUUUCAGCAACAUAUCUACCAUAUCACAAAGUAUGUGGAAUGUUUAUCAGACCAAGACAACAUUCUACUUGGUUAUGAUCAAGUGCGAGUCGAUGAAGUUGAUAGUAGACCAAAGAGAUAUGAGCCACGACGGUGGAACUAGAAAGAAUACCUCUGUUUUUUAUAGACAUGUGAACAAAUAUUCAUGUUCGUUUCUCUUUUCUCAGCAACAUACCUACCAUAUCACAAAGUAUGUGGAAUGUUUAUCAGACCGAGACAACAUUAAACUUGGGUAUGAUCAAGUGCGAGUUGAUGAAGUUGAUAGUAGACCAAAGAGAUAUGAGCCACGACGGUGGAACUAGAAAGAAUACCUCUGUUUUUGAAAGACAUUUGAACAAAUAUUCAUGUCCUUUUCUCUUUUCUCAGCAACAUAUCUACCAUAUCACAAAGUAUGUGGAAUGUUUAUCAGACCGAGACAACAUUAAACUUUGGUAUGAUCAAGUGCGAGUUGAUGAAGUUGAUAGUAGACCAAAGAGAUAUGAGCUACAACGGUAGAACAAGAAAGAAUACCUCUGUUUUUUAUAGACAUGUGAACAAAUAUUCAUGUCCUUUUCUCUUUUCUCAACAACAUAUUUACCAUAUCACAAAGUAUGUGGAAUGUUUAUCAGACCGAGACAACAUUUAACUUGGGUAUGAUCAAGUGCGAGUUGAUGAAGUUGAUAGUAGACCAAAGAGAUAUGAGCCACGAUAGUGGAACUAGAAAGAAUACCUCUGUUUUUGAUAGACAUGUGAACAAAUAUUAAUGUCCUUUGAUCUUUUUUCAGCAACAUAUCUACCAUAUCACAAAGUAUGUGGAAUGUUUAUCAGACCGAGACAACAUUCAACUUGGGUAUGAUCAAGUGCGAGUUGAUGAAGUUGAUAGUAGAACAAAGAGAUAUGAGCCACGACGGUGAAACUAGAAAGAAUACCUCUGUUUUUUUAUAGACAUGUGAACAAAUAUUCAUGUCCUAAUCUCUUUUUUCAACAACAUAUCUACCAUAUCACAAAGUAUGUGGAAUGUUUAUCAGACCGAGACAACAUUUAACUUGGGUAUGAUCAAGUGCGAGUUGAUGAAGUUGAUAGUAGACCAAAGAGAUAUGAGCCAUGAUAGUGGAACUAGAAAGAAUUACCUCUGUUUUUGAUAGACAUGUGAACAAAUAUUCAUGUCCUUUGCUCUUUUUUCAGCAACAUAUCUACCAUAUCACAAAGUAUGUGGAAUGUUUAUCAGACCGAGACAACAUUCAACUUGGGUAUGGUCAAGUGCGAGUUGAUGAAGUUGAUAGUAGACCAAAGAGAUAUGAGCCACGAAAGUGCAACUAGAAAGAACCUCUGUUUUUUAAAGACAUGUCAACAAAUAUUCAUGUCCGUUUCUCUUUUCUCAACAAUAUAUCUACCAUAUCACAAAGUAUGUGGAAUGUUUAUCAGACCGAGACAACAUAUAACUUGGUCAUGAUCAAGUGCGAGUUGAUGAAGUUGAUAGUAGACCAAAGAGAUAUGAGCCACGAUAGUGGAACUAGAAAGAAUACCUCUGUUUUUUAUAGACAUGUGAACAAAUAUUAAUGUCCUUUGCUCUUUUUUCAGCAACAUAUCUACCAUAUCACAAAGUAUGUGGAAUGUUUAUCAGACCGAGACAACAUUCAACUUGGGUAUGAUCAAGUGCGAGUUGAUGAAGUUGAUAGUAGACCAAAGAGAUAUGAGGCACAAUAGUGGAACUAGAAAGAAUACCUUUGUUUUUGAUAGACAUGUGAACAAAUAUUAAUGUCCUUUGCUCUUUUUUCAGCAACAUAUCUACCAUAUCACAAAGUAUGUGGAAUGUUUAUCAGACCGAGACAACAUUCAACUUGGGUAUGAUCAAGUGCGAGUUGAUGAAGUUGAUAGUAGACCAAAGAGAUAUGAGGCACAAUAGUGGAACUAGAAAGAAUACCUUUGUUUUUGAUAGACAUGUGAACAAAUAUUAAUGUCCUUUUCUCUUUUUUCAGCAACAUAUCUACCAUAUCACAAAGUAUGUGGAAUGUUUAUCAGACCGAGACAACAUUCAACUUGGGUAUGAUCAAGUGCGAGUUGAUGAAGUUGAUAGUAGACCAAAGAGAUAUGAGCCACGACGGUGAAACUAGAAAGAAUACCUCUGUUUUUGAUAGACAUGUGAACAAAUAUUCAUGUCCUAAUCUCUUUUUUCAACAACAUAUCUACCAUAUCACAAAGUAUGUGGAAUGUUUAUCAGACCGAGACAACAUUCAACUUGGGUAUGGUCAAGUGCGAGUUGAUGAAGUUGAUAGUAGACCAAAGAGAUAUGAGCCACGACAGUGGAACUAGAAAGAACCUCUGUUUUUUAAAGACAUGUCAACAAAUAUUCAUGUCCGUUUCUCUUUUCUCAACACUAUAUCUACCAUAUCACAAAGUAUGUGGAAUGUUAACCAGACCGAGACAACAUUCAACUUGGGCAUGAUCAAGUGCGAGUUGAUGAAGUUGAUAGUAGACCAAAGAGAUAUGAGCCACACAGUGGAACUAGAAAGAAUACCUCUGUUUUUUAUAGACAUGUGAACAAAUAUUCAUGUCCUUUUCUCUUUUCUCAACAACAUAUCUACCAUAUCACAAAGUAUGUGGAAUGUUUAUCAGACCGAGACAACAUUCAACUUGGGUAUGAUCAAGUGCGAGUUGAUGAAGUUGAUAGUAGACCAAAGAGAUAUGAGCCAUGAUAGUGGAACUAGAAAGAAUUACCUCUGUUUUUGAUAGACAUGUGAACAAAUAUUCAUGUCCUUUGCUCUUUUUUCAGCAACAUAUCUACCAUAUCACAAAGUAUGUGGAAUGUUUAUCAGACCGAGACAACAUUCAACUUGGGUAUGAUCAAGUGCGAGUUGAUGAAGUUGAUAGUAGACCAAAGAGAUAUGAGCCAUGAUAGUGGAACUAGAAAGAAUUACCUCUGUUUUUGAUAGACAUGUGAACAAAUAUUCAUGUCCUUUGCUCUUUUUUCAGCAACAUAUCUACCAUAUCACAAAGUAUGUGGAAUGUUUAUCAGACCGAGACAACAUUCAACUUGGGUAUGAUCAAGUGCGAGUUGAUGAAGUUGAUAGUAGACCAAAGAGAUAUGAGCCAUGAUAGUGGAACUAGAAAGAAUUACCUCUGUUUUUGAUAGACAUGUGAACAAAUAUUCAUGUCCUUUGCUCUUUUUUCAGCAACAUAUCUACCAUAUCACAAAGUAUGUGGAAUGUUUAUCAGACCGAGACAACAUUCAACUUGGGUAUGAUCAAGUGCGAGUUGAUGAAGUUGAUAGUAGACCAAAGAGAUAUGAGCCAUGAUAGUGGAACUAGAAAGAAUUACCUCUGUUUUUGAUAGACAUGUGAACAAAUAUUCAUGUCCUUUGCUCUUUUUUCAGCAACAUAUCUACCAUAUCACAAAGUAUGUGGAAUGUUUAUCAGACCGAGACAACAUUCAACUUGGGUAUGAUCAAGUGCGAGUUGAUGAAGUUGAUAGUAGACCAAAGAGAUAUGAGCCAUGAUAGUGGAACUAGAAAGAAUUACCUCUGUUUUUGAUAGACAUGUGAACAAAUAUUCAUGUCCUUUGCUCUUUUUUCAGCAACAUAUCUACCAUAUCACAAAGUAUGUGGAAUGUUUAUCAGACCGAGACAACAUUCAACUUGGGUAUGAUCAAGUGCGAGUUGAUGAAGUUGAUAGUAGACCAAAGAGAUAUGAGCCAUGAUAGUGGAACUAGAAAGAAUUACCUCUGUUUUUGAUAGACAUGUGAACAAAUAUUCAUGUCCUUUGCUCUUUUUUCAGCAACAUAUCUACCAUAUCACAAAGUAUGUGGAAUGUUUAUCAGACCGAGACAACAUUCAACUUGGGUAUGAUCAAGUGCGAGUUGAUGAAGUUGAUAGUAGACCAAAGAGAUAUGAGCCAUGAUAGUGGAACUAGAAAGAAUUACCUCUGUUUUUGAUAGACAUGUGAACAAAUAUUCAUGUCCUUUGCUCUUUUUUCAGCAACAUAUCUACCAUAUCACAAAGUAUGUGGAAUGUUUAUCAGACCGAGACAACAUUCAACUUGGGUAUGAUCAAGUGCGAGUUGAUGAAGUUGAUAGUAGACCAAAGAGAUAUGAGCCAUGAUAGUGGAACUAGAAAGAAUUACCUCUGUUUUUGAUAGACAUGUGAACAAAUAUUCAUGUCCUUUGCUCUUUUUUCAGCAACAUAUCUACCAUAUCACAAAGUAUGUGGAAUGUUUAUCAGACCGAGACAACAUUCAACUUGGGUAUGAUCAAGUGCGAGUUGAUGAAGUUGAUAGUAGACCAAAGAGAUAUGAGCCAUGAUAGUGGAACUAGAAAGAAUUACCUCUGUUUUUGAUAGACAUGUGAACAAAUAUUCAUGUCCUUUGCUCUUUUUUCAGCAACAUAUCUACCAUAUCACAAAGUAUGUGGAAUGUUUAUCAGACCGAGACAACAUUCAACUUGGGUAUGAUCAAGUGCGAGUUGAUGAAGUUGAUAGUAGACCAAAGAGAUAUGAGCCAUGAUAGUGGAACUAGAAAGAAUUACCUCUGUUUUUGAUAGACAUGUGAACAAAUAUUCAUGUCCUUUGCUCUUUUUUCAGCAACAUAUCUACCAUAUCACAAAGUAUGUGGAAUGUUUAUCAGACCGAGACAACAUUCAACUUGGGUAUGAUCAAGUGCGAGUUGAUGAAGUUGAUAGUAGACCAAAGAGAUAUGAGCCAUGAUAGUGGAACUAGAAAGAAUUACCUCUGUUUUUGAUAGACAUGUGAACAAAUAUUCAUGUCCUUUGCUCUUUUUUCAGCAACAUAUCUACCAUAUCACAAAGUAUGUGGAAUGUUUAUCAGACCGAGACAACAUUCAACUUGGGUAUGAUCAAGUGCGAGUUGAUGAAGUUGAUAGUAGACCAAAGAGAUAUGAGCCAUGAUAGUGGAACUAGAAAGAAUUACCUCUGUUUUUGAUAGACAUGUGAACAAAUAUUCAUGUCCUUUGCUCUUUUUUCAGCAACAUAUCUACCAUAUCACAAAGUAUGUGGAAUGGUUAUCAGACCGAGACAACACUCAGCUUGGGUUUGAUCAAGUGCGAGUUGAUGAAGUUGAUAGUAGACCAAAGAGAUAUGAGCCACGAUAUUGGAACUAGAAAGAGUACCUCUGUUUUUUAAAGAUAUGCGAAUAAAUAUUCAUGUCCUUUUUCUCUUUUCUUAGCAAAAUAUCGAUGGUACCACAAAGUAUGUGAAAUGUUAAUCAGAACCAAAACAACAUUUAGGUUGGGUAUGAUCAAGUGCGAGUUGAUGAAGUUGAUAAUAAACCAAAUAGAUAUGAGCCAAGACUGUGGCAGUUGAAAGGAUACCUCUGUUUUUGAAAGACAUAAUGUGCGACGAUAAAAGAGGAACCAUAAAAGAUCAGUGUCCCAGUUCUGUGUUAGCCUGAUGGGAUUUGUGUGCUGAUAAGUGUGAUGGAUUGACUGUUCAGAAGAAAUCACAGCAUAUUUGUGAGGUAAACAUGCCUCCUUCACCAAGUUUUUCCAUGACUUCCAUGAAUUUGGCAUGAAGAUCCACCGUCCAUUUUGUGCAUGCCCCUUCACCUAACGGUCUUAUUAAUAGCAUUGUUGUGCCUUUUUUCUUCGUUAAUCUCAUUUGUUAUUUUUAUACCUCUCUACGAACUUACAAAAGCAACAAAAUCCAUCUCAAAUUUCAUUCUUAUACACAACACAUAUCCCAACAAACUACUGGAAUCCCAAAUACAGGCCACAAGCAGUAAUUGGAAUCUUUAGUAUCAAUCUCAAACUCUCACAUGGUAGUACAAAAGAUCGAGAGAGGAUUUUCUCACAAUAAGAUGCUAGCAUAGAUGCAAAACAUGGAAUUAUUAGCCUCUUGUUUUGAUUUUUUACUUCCUGAGUUUUCUUGUAGAUUGAAACAUUUAAUUACUUUAUAGACAAUGGAAAUCAUUUCAAUGUGGAUAAGAAAAGACACAAACUACGCGUACAAGAGGAAAAAUAAAGUUCCAUACAACUAGCAAGAGGAAGAAGAGUCGAUCUCAAGAAAAAAUGUUUUUUCUUUGGAAACAGAAUAAUUCAUCUGUCAUUUAUCCCGGGGAAGCAACAUGUUCAAGUGGUUGGUGAAUGUCUCAGCUUUCUUGAAGUCCUGAGUUAGAUAAAAGACAAGACUAACUAAAGAUAUAGUGAUUCUUUUAUUUAGAUAAAUUUUUCUGUCUCAUGCGUAUUAUGAUUAGUGAGGUUAGAUUGACGCCUUCCAUUGCACUGUUUUACUCAUUUUAUCAAUAUUUGAAAUCAGUCUUACUCA